GCGAGAGGUUUAAAUCUGCUGCAUGUGUGCUUAGAAAAUGUAUAAUUUGCAGGUACUUAUAAGUCUUGUGGUGAUAGGUCAUGUGAUUCACAUAGGUAGCAUAGAAUGGUUACCAUGUAAACGUCUCAGAAAGUUUGAAUUCCCUUGGUUUCCCAGAGUAGUGCUAACAAGCUUUCAAUUCAAUGCUCUAGAUAGGAAAUG